AAGUCGUAACAAGGUUUCCGUAGGUGAACCUGCGGAAGGAUCAUUAUUGAAUAACUUUGGUUGGUUGUAGCUGGCUUUUCGAAGCAUGUGCACACCUUCCAUCUUUAUCUAUCAUCCACCUGUGCACCUUUUGUAGUCUUAUGAAAUGAGAACAAUGGACCCCUCGAUAAGGUGAAUUCACCUUUCGGAUGUGGCGAAUGCUAUGCGAAAGUGUGGCUCUCUCCAAAAUACUUGUAAUCAUUUCUUGGACUAUGUAUUUUCAUAUACCAUGUAGUAUGUUGCAGAAUGUAUCAAUUGGGACUCAGUUCCUAUAAAACACAAUACAACUUUCAGCAACGGAUCUCUUGGCUCUCGCAUCGAUGAAGAACGCAGCGAAAUGCGAUAAGUAAUGUGAAUUGCAGAAUUCAGUGAAUCAUCGAAUCUUUGAACGCACCUUGCGCUCCUUGGUAUUCCGAGGAGCAUGCCUGUUUGAGUGUCAUUAAAUUCUCAACUACACUAAGUUUUACAACUUGGUUGUGGCUUGGAUGUUGGGGGUACACCUGCGGGCCUCUGUCAUUGAGGUCGGCUCCCCUGAAAUACAUUAGCAGAACUGUUUGCGGUCUGUCACCGGUGUGAUAAUUAUCUACGCCCAAGACAAUGGCUGCUCUCUAUGUGUUCAGCUUCAAAUCGUCCAUUUGUGGACAACUUUUGAAUAUUUGACCUCAAAUCAGGUAGGACUACCCGCUGAACUUAAGCAUAUCAAUAAGCGGAGGAAAAGAAACUAACAAGGAUUCCCCUAGUAACUGCGAGUGAAGCGGGAAAAGCUCAAAUUUAAAAUCUGGCAGUCUUUGGCUGUCCGAGUUGUAAUCUAGAGAA
rnacentral:misc_RNA from 1 species